rnacentral:rRNA from 1 species
UACGGGGGGGGCAAGCGUUGUUCGGAAUUACUGGGCGUAAAGGGCGCGUAGGCGGCCGCCUAAGUCAGACGUGAAAUCCCUCGGCUCAACCGGGGAACUGCGUCUGAUACUGGGUGGCUUGAAUUCGGGAGAGGGAUGCGGAAUUCCAGGUGUAGCGGUGAAAUGCGUAGAUAUCUGGAGGAACACCGGUGGCGAAGGCGGGUCUCUGGACAGUUCCUGACACUGAGACACGAAGGCCAGGGGAGCAAACGGG